rnacentral:rRNA from 1 species
GUCGAGGGGCAGCAUGGUCUUAGCUUGCUAAGGCCGAUGGCGACCGGCGCACGGGUGAGUAACACGUAUCCAACCUGCCGUCUACUCUUGGACAGCCUUCUGAAAGGAAGAUUAAUACAAGAUGGCAUCAUGAGUUCACAUGUUCACAUGAUUAAAGGUAUUCCGGUAGACGAUGGGGAUGCGUUCCAUUAGAUAGUAGGCGGGGUAACGGCCCACCUAGUCUUCGAUGGAUAGGGGUUCUGAGAGGAAGGUCCCCCACAUUGGAACUGAGACACGGUCCAAACUCCUACGGGAGGCAGCAGUGAGGAAUAUUGGUCAAUGGGCGCAGGCCUGAACCAGCCAAGUAGCGUGAAGGAUGACUGCCCUAUGGGUUGUAAACUUCUUUUAUAAAGGAAUAAAGUCGGGUAUGUAUACCCGUUUGCAUGUACUUUAUGAAUAAGGAUCGGCUAACUCCGUGCCAGCAGCCGCGGUAAUACGGAGGAUCCGAGCGUUAUCCGGAUUUAUUGGGUUUAAAGGGAGCGUAGAUGGAUGUUUAAGUCAGUUGUGAAAGUUUGCGGCUCAACCGUAAAAUUGCAGUUGAUACUGGAUAUCUUGAGUGCAGUUGAGGCAGGCGGAAUUCGUGGUGUAGCGGUGAAAUGCUUAGAUAUCACGAAGAACUCCGAUUGCGAAGGCAGCCUGCUAAGCUGCAACUGACAUUGAGGCUCGAAAGUGUGGGUAUCAAACAGGAUUAGAUACCCUGGUAGUCCACACGGUAAACGAUGAAUACUCGCUGUUUGCGAUAUACAGCAAGCGGCCAAGCGAAAGCGUUAAGUAUUCCACCUGG